GCAUGGUCAUGAUUUAUGGGGGGCCCUUCCCGUGGGCCUCUCAUAGUGGACCCAUGCCAAGGGAAGUUGCAGCCUCAAACCAUUGCCCAGCCUCCUCACCCUUGGGCUGUGAGCACUGUGCAGAAUAAAAAAAA